UUUUUCUUCAUUUUUAUUUUCAAACUUACAGUAAACAAAACAAUCACUUAAAUUGUCAAAAGAACAGCAAUUUUACACAAUGAAGAGCAUACACACCAAGCCAAAAUACAAUAGCACUCAGGUCUAUAUGUUGCAGUGGUGCUGGCGCUGGAGGGAAUGCCCAGGGAGGCUGCAGUGCUCACCACGAAGCCCAGGUCCACGGAGGGAGCCAAGGUCCACAGAGGGCCCCGGGGCCAGAGGGAGGCCGCCCACACUCCCAGCACAUCACCUGCCUCAAAGCACUCCCUUCAGGCCAUUUUAACACUGCUGUGAAUGUGCUGGGGUCACCAAGGGGGCCCCUUAGUGGUCAGAUGCACUUUGUCACAAUGUACACCUACAUGGGGUGAUUACUAGGCAACGGGAGGUUUCCUGAAUUUCACAGCCAGAUGGGGAGCUAAAAGAAAUUCCUGAACCCAACGCGUAAAUAUUUUGUUCUGACAAAGUAAAUUCACAAGAACACAUCAA
rnacentral:lncRNA from 1 species